CUGGUGGGAUACUACCCUUGCAAUAUGACCACUCUAACCCGCAGCACUGAACGUGCUGGGAGACAGUGUCAGGUGGGCAGUUUGACUGGGGCGGWCGCCUCCUAAAAGGUAACGGAGGCGCCCAAAGGUUCGCUCAGUAUGGUUGGAAAUCAUGCGCAGAGUGUAAAGGCACAAGCGAGCUUGACUGCGAGACAGACAGGUCGAGCAGGGACGAAAGUCGGGCUUAGUGAUCCGGUGGUUCCGUAUGGAAGGGCCAUCGCUCAACGGAUAAAAGCUACCCUGGGGAUAACAGGCUUAUCUCCCCCAAGAGUCCACAUCGACGGGGAGGUUUGGCACCUCGAUGUCGGCUCAUCGCAUCCUGGGGCUGUAGUCGGUCCCAAGGGUUGGGCUGUUCGCCCAUUAAAGCGGUACGCGAGCUGGGUUCAGAACGUCGUGAGACAGUUCGGUCCCURUCCGUCGCGGGCGUAGGAAAUUUGAGAGGACCUGUCCUUAGUACGAGAGGACCGGGAUGGACAUACCGCUGGUGUACCAGUUGUUCCGCCAGGAGCACCGCUGGGUAGCUAUGUAUGGACGAGAUAAACGCUGAAAGCAUCUAAGUGUGAAACUCGCCUCGAGAUGAGAUUUCCCAUUUCCUUCGGGAAAGUAAGACCCCUCAGAGAUGAUGAGGUAGAUAGGAUGGAAGUGGAAGUGCCGUGAGGCAUGGAGCGGACCAUUACUAAUCGGUCGAGGACUUAACCAAG
rnacentral:rRNA from 2 species